CCCUUAGAUGUUCGGGGCCGCACGCGCGCUACACUGAAGGAAUCAGCACGUCUUUCUCCUUGUCCGAAAGGACUGGGUAACCCGCUGAACCUCCUUCGUGCUAGGGAUUGGGGCUUGUAAUUCUUCCCCAUGAACGAGGAAUUCCCAGUAAGCGCGAGUCAUAAGCUCGCGUUGAUUACGUCCCUGCCCCUUGUACACACCGCCCGUCGCUACUACCGAUUGGAUGGUUUAGUGAGAUCCUCGGAUUGGUCCCGGCGCGGCCUCUGGUCGUGCCGGAGUGCCGAAAAGAAUGUCGAACUUGAUCAUCUAGAGGAAGUAAAAGUCGUAACA
rnacentral:rRNA from 1 species